rnacentral:rRNA from 1 species
UACGGAGGAGGCAAGCGUUAUCCGGAAUUAUUGGGCGUAAAGCGUCCGCAGGUGGCUAUUCAAGUCUGCGGUCAAAGACUGGGGCUUAACCCUGGACAGGCCGUGGAAACUGAAGAGCUAGAGUGCAGUAGGGGUAGAGGGAAUUCCCGGUGUAGCGGUGAAAUGCGUAGAGCUCGGGAAGAACAUCGGUGGCGAAAGCGCUCUGCUGGACUGCAACUGACACUCAGGGACGAAAGCUAGGGGAGCGAAUGUG